GAGGAAGGUGGGGAUGACGUCAAGUCCUCAUGGCCUUUAUGUCCAGGGCUACACACGUGCUACAAUGGCCGGUACAAACCGCUGCAAACCCGCGAGGGUGAGCCAAUCGGAGAAAGCCGGCCUCAGUUCGGAUUGCAGUCUGCAACUCGACUGCAUGAAGCUGGAAUCGCUAGUAAUCGCGGAUCAGCAUGCCGCGGUGAAUACGUUCCCGGGCCUUGUACGCACCGCCCGUCACAUCACGAAAGUGGGUUGUACUAGAAGCAGGUGAGCUAACCGCAAGGAAGCAGCCUUCCAAGGUGUGAUUCAUGAUUGGGGUGAAGUCGUAACAAGGUAGCCGUAA
rnacentral:rRNA from 1 species